rnacentral:lncRNA from 1 species
AAGGUCAUGCUGCACAGCCCAUCAAGUCGCCACUGUGGCAGCACCCAAGAGAAAGUGGCCAGCAGUGUGGAGGGACCGGUGACAUCCUCAGUACUGACUCAACAGGAGCAAACCAGACUCUGCAUAUUUCAAGAAGAAAGGACCUUAAUGCAAGAAACAAACGAAGAGCAUAUCGGUUGGGGAAGGAUCGUAAUGGGAGGAAGAUUCAAAAGGCUGGAACCCAGGAAGCAGAGUGGAAGCAGAUGAGCAUCAAGAGGAUGAGCAGAAAGAAACCAAUGGGAACGUCCCACGCCUCCUGCUUGAGCUCUGACUGGUGCUGAGAAGAGAGGUCAUUGUUUCUUCAUGGCUUUCCAGUGAAAGUUAAGGAAAUGGGGCCCAGAAGCAUGCUCCUCACAUACAGGGAAGAAUGUAGGAACAAGGAAGGAAGGGGUGCUGUUGUUUGGUACUCCAACAUACUCAGAAAUCGGAGAAGACUUCCCAAAGAAUGUGGUGCCAGAGGCUCGAUUUUGAAAACUUGAGGUCAGCCAAGCCCUGGCUUGGUCAGUGAUUCAUCAAAGGAGUUUCCCUUUCUAGACUGCAAGAUCCCAAAGUACGGAAGUGUAGCCUUCCCAAGAAGAACUAGUCUUAUGCAACCAAGUGAAGAGAGAGCUAUAAAUAGCUUGGUUUGUUUCCUUCCUGGGCAAGGGCAAGCAAAAGUUGGUUGUUAAAGUAAAAACAAUAACCCUCGUCAUUGAAAAAUGUAUGUAGAGGAGGGCUUUUUUUCACAAUCUGUUAUCCGGGUAGUCAGGAAUUGUGGUACCAAGCGAUUGCCUAAGGCAGGAAAACAUACAGACUCCAACAGCUGCGGGACAAUGAAUAGAGAUGCAAUCCCUAGUUCCUCUCUGGAUACCAUCCUCCCUCCCAUUUCUGGCCUAGUUGUUUUUUCUUGCUAGAGACACAUCAGGACCUACCUGUUCAGAUAACCACUCUAUUGACAGCUUAUUCCCCCCAGAGUUGAGACAGAUUUAUCUCAUGGUUCUCAGAGGUAAACCAAACAAAAUACAAAAGCAAAAAAGGACAUAACAUUGGCUAAGCACCUGCCACUUCCCAGCUAAGUUCAAAGCUCUGAAUAUCUUCUGUCUUUGAAUUCUGAAAGAGACUUUGAGACGAGCCUCUUGCACACAGCGUCCAGAUGAGCAAGCACAAAACAAGAAGUGUAGACUCAAACAUUUGCUGUUAUAUCAAAGCUCAGCUCCAGGGGCAAAAC